AGCCAGCCAUGCCUCCAGUUCAGGUACGUGGCAUUGCUAAGCUCAGAACAGGACUUGCCAGUGUCUAAAUGAAAAAGAGGAGAGAUCUCAAGAGGGAUAACCAAUUGGCUGGCAAAGUAACAAAUGAAAAGUAACCUGACUCUAUUGACCCGCUUAACCCUGCAUGGGGGGGAAGGAUGGAAAGGAGCAGCUGUUUGCUUUGAAACAGUGGAACAGUUUUGCAGCCUUAGAAAAUGGCAUGUAACACACCUAACCAAAGACAGCGGACUCUGUCAACAACAGGAGAAGCUCUAUACGAAAUUCUUGGUCUGCAUAAGGGAGCAUCAAAUGAAGAAAUUAAGAAAACCUACAGGCUGGAGAAUCCCUUCACCUAAAGUCACCUGACUCCUCAGCUACUACCAACAAGGAGUGUUGGGAGCCUCAGAAGCAGGAGACAAACCAAACAAACCAAGAAGCACCGUAAAGACUCUGAAAAGUAGAUUGUUAUUGGAACCACUCACAAAAGUAGGCUAGAACCUGCAUGCUAAACCUAAAGAAGGGGACUGCCUGCUAAAAUAAAACAACUUAAAUAGAACCCAGAAUCUGCCAACAUGAUAGCCAAAAUAUCCAGAUACAAACAAAUCACUCACCCUACAAAGAAGCAAGAAAAUCACAACUUGAAUAAGCAAAGACAAUCAGCUAACUCCUGUGCUGAGAUGAACUAGAUGUUGCAACUAUCUGAAAAGCAUUUUAAAGUAACCAUCAUAGGCCGGGCGCGGUGGCUCUCGCCUGUAAUCCCAGCACUUUGGGAGGCCGAGGCGGGCGGAUCACGAGGUCAGGAGAUUGAGACCAUCCUGGCUAACACAGUGAAACCCCGUCUCUACUAAAAACACAAAAAUUAGCCGGGCUUAGUGGCAGGCGCCUGUAGUCCCAGCUACUCAGGAGGCUGAGGCAGGAGAAUGGCGUGAACCCGGGAGGCGGAGAUUGCAGUGAGCCGAGAUCGCGCCAAUGCGCUCUAGCCUGGGCGACAGAGCAAGACUCCGUCUCAAAAAAUAAAUAAAUAAAUAAAUACAUAAAUACAUAAACCAUCAUAAAAAAUUCAACAAGUAAUGACAAAUUCUCUUGAAGCAAGUAAAAAAAAUGGAAAUUCUCAGUGAAGAAAUAGGAAUUAACAAAAAAGAACGAAAUAGGAAUUAACAAAAAAGAACCAAAUGGAAACUAUAGAACGAAAAAAUAACAUAAAUAAUAAAACUAACUGGAUGAGCUUAAUAGUGCAGUGGAGAUGACAGAGAAUAGAAAUUGAGGACAGAUCAAUAGAAUGUUCCCGAUCUGAACAACCGAUAAACAAUAAACUGAAAACAGAGUCUCAGAAACCUGUGGGACAAUAACAAAGAUCCAACAUGUAUAGCAUUGACAUCCUAGAAGGAGAAGAGUGAAACAAUGGGACUAAAAGAGUACUCAAAGAAGUAAUGGCUGGAAAUUCCCCACAUUUGGCAAAAGAUAGAAACCUACAGAUUCAAGAGGCUGAGAGAACUCCGACAGGAUAAACCCAAAGCAAUCAAUGCCAAGAAACAUUAUAAUUAAACUUCUGGAAACUACAGACAAAGAAAAAAAUUUGAAAGCAGCCAGGGAGAAACAAUGCAUGGCCAAACACCCAUUUGAAUGGCAGCAUAUUUCUCAUCUAAAGCAACAGAAACCCAAAGGAAGUGACAAAACAUUUUUCAAGUGAUGAAAGAGAAGAACUGUCAACAGAAAAUUCUGUAUCUGGUGAAACUAUAUUUCAGGAGUGAAUGGGGAAAUACGUUCUCACAUAAACGGAAUCUAAAAGAAUUGUCACUAGCAGAUCUCCUCUUAAAGAAUGGCUAAAGGAAGUUCUUCAAAAGAAAGGAAAUGAUAAAGGAAGGAUCUUAGACGAUCAGGAAGAAGAACAAGGGAGAAAGCAGAAAUAUGGAAAAUUGGCCCUGAAACACCAUCCAGACAAGAAUCCAGAUGAUCCAGCUGCUACUGAGAAGUUUAAAGAAAUCAACAACGCCCACGCCAUACUUACCGACAUUUCAAAGAGAAGCAUAUACGACAAGUACGGAUCGCUGGGACUCUACGUGGCCGAGCAGUUUGGAGACGAAAACGUUAACACCUACUUCAUGCUGUCGAGCUGGUGGGCAAAGGCCCUGUUUGUCAUCAUUGGCCUCUUGACGGGCUGCUAUUUUUGCUGCUGCCUGUGCUGCUGCUGCAACUGCUGCUGUGGACAUUGCCGGCCCGAGCCGUCAGUGUCAGAAGAAGACUUCUAUGUGUCCCCAGAGGAUCUGGAGGAGCAGAUCAAGUCCGACAUGGAAAAAGAUGUGGACUUUCCAGUUUUUCUCCAGCCUACAAAUGCAAAUGAGAAAACACAGCUAAUCAAAGAAGAAUCUCGAAGUUAUUGCACAGACUCUAGAUAUUGAGCCCUCAGAGAGUCCACAGUCCCUCCUCUCAGUUCAGUCUUGUCUCCAGAUGGUCGUAGGGGAGCGUGUGGGGCAUAAAGUGCUGUGAACUUUUCCA
rnacentral:sRNA from 1 species